rnacentral:rRNA from 1 species
AGCGAACGCUGGCGGCAGGCCUAACACAUGCAAGUCGAGCGCCCGUAGCAAUACGGGAGCGGCAGACGGGAGAGUAACACGUGGGAACGUAACCUUUCAGUUCGGAACAACCAAGGGAAACUUUGGCUAAUACCGGAUACGCCCGUAAGGGGAAAGAUUUAUCGCUGAAAGAUCGGCCCGCGUCUGAUUAGCUAGUUGGUGGGGUAACGGCCCACCAAGGCGACGAUCAGUAGCUGGUCUGAGAGGAUGAUCAGCCUCACUGGGACUGAGACACGGCCCAGACUCCUACGGGAGGCAGCAGUGGGGAAUAUUGGACAAUGGGCGCAAGCCUGAUCCAGCCAUGCCGCGUGGAUGAUGAAGGCCCUAGGGUUGUAAAGUCCUUUUCGACGGGGAAGAUAAUGACGGUACCCGUAGAAGAAGCCCCGGCUAACUUCGUGCCAGCAGCCGCGGUAAGCACGAGAGUA